rnacentral:rRNA from 1 species
UACGUAGGGGGCUAGCGUUGUCCGGAAUCAUUGGGCGUAAAGCGCGCGUAGGCGGCCCGGUAAGUCCGCUGUAAAAGUCAAAGGCUCAACCUUUGAAUGUCAGUGGAUACUGCCGGGCUAGAGUCCGGAAGAGGCGAGUGGAAUUCCUGGUGUAGCGGUGGAAUGCGCAGAUAUCAGGAGGAACACCAACGGCGAAGGCAGCUCGCUGGGACGGUACUGACGCUAAGGCGCGAAAGCGUGGGGAGCGAACAGG